AUAUUUUCCCUCUAAUAAUAAAUGAGUAAUAAUAAUAGAAAAAACAUUUGGCGCGUCGAUUCAACCCCCGCCGCGAACGGAAAAGGGGAAAUUGGAUCCCUAAAAGCUCAAGUCGCGAGUACCGGAUAUUUUGCUUGACGUUGUUCUUGUUGCUCUAUGAUUUGAUGUGUAAGAAAAUUCAUUCGGGAAGCUGACCAUAUUCAGUUGACUGAUUUUGUCUAUAUUUUGUCUGCCUUCUUUCUGCUGUUUCUAUUAUCGUGUGUAUUGAACUCUGUAAUUAGUGACAACGAGUUAUUAGUGUGCUACGCUUGUCCGGUAAAGUUGAGAGUUGAGGCUCAAUAUCAUAGCAGAAGGGACGAGGUUAAUGUUUUACAGCUGAGCAAUUUAAACUUAGUAUUUAUAACUAUUACUAUCUACAUAAUUGUAUUGUUUAAUAGUUGUUACUCGUAACACCUUACGACUCUGAAGAUGAAGAAAUCGAGGCGGAAGUAUCAACAGCUAUACUGAGAAACUGAUGGUCCGAGUUUGGAAUUCGACAAUUCGUUAAUCCUCCCCUAGGUAAUUUUGUAAGACUUGAUCUUUAGCAUUAGUUGACAAUUCGAUUAAAAUAAUUUUCACCUUGAUAGCAAAUCUUGAAAGCCUCUGCACUCAUCGCCCCUAACUUAGUAAAUGAAGAGAAAAGGAUUAGGAUUUUUAUUUUUUCUUGUUACAACAGUUAAGUUCAUUGAGUUUGUGCAGAUUAAUCGAUUACGAUGUUUUAUGUGUGCAUUUUACGACACUCUUAAGUUGUUUGUCAAUUUUCUGAGAUUAUUAUUAUUAUUAUUAUUUUGA